rnacentral:rRNA from 1 species
GACGAACGCUGGCGGCGUGCUUAACACAUGCAAGUCGAACGGUAAGGCCCUUCGGGGUACACGAGUGGCGAACGGGUGAGUAACACGUGGGUGAUCUGCCCUGCACUUCGGGAUAAGCCUGGGAAACUGGGUCUAAUACCGGAUAGGACCAUGGACUUCACGGUUUGUGGUGGAAAGCUUUUGCGGUGUGGGAUGGGCCCGCGGCCUAUCAGCUUGUUGGUGGGGUAAUGGCCUACCAAGGCGACGACGGGUAGCCGGCCUGAGAGGGUGUCCGGCCACACUGGGACUGAGAUACGGCCCAGACUCCUACGGGAGGCAGCAGUGGGGAAUAUUGCACAAUGGGCGCAAGCCUGAUGCAGCGACGCCGCGUGAGGGAUGACGGCCUUCGGGUUGUAAACCUACUUUCAAUAGGGACGAAGCGCAAGUGACGGUACC